rnacentral:lncRNA from 1 species
GGCAGUGCUCGGGAUCUUUGCUGAUGUCCAAGUUCAUCUCUCGGGGAGACCGAGUUUGAAUCAAAUCUGCGUGCGCCCAGCUGUCAAAUCUGCAAACCUAUCACGCCAGACAAUGGGCCGCCGCGGAGGACAGACAAGAAUGGCUCAUUUUGAUCGAGGGGGGUAAAUUGAAAAGGGCACGGGCUUUGGUUGAAGUUUGAGGCCCGGGUGUCAGGGCGGGGAGAAGAAGAGGAGGAAGGAGGAGGGUUGGGCCGCUCUCCAUUCAACCACACAUCAGCCAGGCGCGCCCCUCGGCUGCAGCGGCUGCUUGCAGGCGGGCUGCAUAUUGUGUGGAGUCGCCAAAGAGGGUCUGCGCCUCGGGGCGCGCCCCAAACCCGGGGGACAUCCUACGGAUCCGCACUUCUCUUGUGCUGUACGCGUGUUCCUCCAGGUCUCUUGUAGAAGUCAAAGAAUCGAUGAAGACACAGCCCACUUCUGGUAUGUCAGGAUGAGAUCAGCAGGCAAAGAAGCCAGGGAGUAGGAGAAUCUAUAUGUCAAAAGCUGAUCUUCCAAGGAAAGCUGUGAACAGAAAGAUGUGGCCCAUACUGUAGCCUAAGACUUCCCGUAGUAGGAGCUAAUAAAAAUAAUAAUUAAAAAAAUCACUGCUUUACAACUACAUCCAUUAACUUUUUUUUUUCUUUUUUUCUUCUUUUUUUUGAGACAGAGUCUCGAGCUGUCGCCUGGGCUGGAGUGCAGUGGCAUGAUCUCAGCUCACUGCAACCUCUGCCUCCUGGGUUCAAGCAAUUCUCCUGUCUCAACCUCCUAAGUAGCUGGGAUUACAGGCACCCACCACCACAACCAACUAAUUUUUUUGUAUUUUUAGUAGAGAUGGGAUUUCAGUAUGUUGGCCAGGCUGGUCUCAAACUCCUAACCUUGUGAUCCACCCACCUCAGCCUCCCAAAGUGCUGGGAUUACAGGCGUGAACCACCACGCCCGGCCUACAUCCACUAACUUCUAAAGCCAGUUAUGGUCAUGUGGCCAGAUCUGAUGAAUCAGAUGUGGCAGAAAGGAUGCGAAGAAGCUCUGAGCAGGUGCCCUCCCUCUACAUGUUCCCACCAUCCUGCGUCCUUGUGCUGCGCCGGACCAGGCAUGCAAGAACAACACACCAAGGAUGGCGGAGCAACAAGAUAGAAGAGGCCUGAGUCCCAGGAUGACUGCCUGGAGCACAGCUGUCUGCCUGCUCAGGGCCUUGUGUCACAUACUAUAAUGUGAGAGACAAAUAAACUUGUCAUAUUUAAGCCAGUAUUAUAUUGGGUCUUCGAUACAUGCAAACAGUCUUUGUAGAACUCAUGCACCCAAAUUAUAAUGAAAGAGAAGUAAAGGAAAAUAAAUUCAAAAAACAAUUGUUUAUUGAAUAUCUAUCAGGGACCAGCCCUCUGCUAGGCUGCUAUGGGAAAUACAGAAUAAUAUUGACUCUGAAGGAAAGUGUAAUUUCACUGGGGAGAUGAGCUGCAUAUCUGAAAUAAUCAAACCAUAUUGUAAAGAAGUGUAGGAAUAAUUGUCAACAUGAGUGGAAAUAAAAAUAACAGUCAGAGGAGAUAGGAAGAAAGGUAGAAAAUGAAAUGGAGUCAUGCCA